rnacentral:rRNA from 1 species
GGGGAAUAUUGCACAAUGGAGGAAACUCUGAUGCAGCGACGCCGCGUGAACGAUGAAGGUCUUCGGAUCGUAAAGUUCUGUCCUAGGGGACGAUAGUGACGGUACCCUAGGAGGAAGCCCCGGCUAACUACGUGCCAGCAGCCGCGGUAAUACGUAGGGGGCGAGCGUUGUCCGGAAUUAUUGGGCGUAAAGGGUUCGUAGGCGGUCUUUUAAGUCAGAUGUGAAAGGUCACGGCUCAACCGUGGUAAGCAUUUGAAACUGAAGGACUUGAGUUAAGGAGAGGAAAGUGGAAUUCCUAGUGUAGCGGUGAAAUGCGUAGAUAUUAGGAGGAAUACCAGUGGCGAAGGCGACUUUCUGGACUUAAACUGACGCUGAGGAACGAAAGCGUGGGGAGCAAAC